UACGGAGGGGGCGAGCGUUGUUCGGAAUUACUGGGCGUAAAGCGCACGUAGGCGGCUUUGUAAGUUAGAGGUGAAAGCCCGGGGCUCAACCCCGGAAUAGCCUUUAAGACUGCAUCGCUUGAACACGGGAGAGGUGAGUGGAAUUCCGAGUGUAGAGGUGAAAUUCGUAGAUAUUCGGAAGAACACCAGUGGCGAAGGCGGCUCACUGGACCGUUGUUGACGCUGAGGUGCGAAAGCGUGGGGAGCAAACAGG
rnacentral:rRNA from 1 species